UACGAAGGGGGCUAGCGUUGUUCGGAUUUACUGGGCGUAAAGCGCACGCAGGCGGAUCGAUCAGUCAGGGGUGAAAUCCCAGAGCUCAACUCUGGAACUGCCUUUGAUACUGUCGAUCUGGAGUAUGGAAGAGGUGAGUGGAAUUCCGAGUGUAGAGGUGAAAUUCGUAGAUAUUCGGAGGAACACCAGUGGCGAAGGCGGCUCACUGGUCCAUUACUGACGCUGAGGUGCGAAAGCGUGGGGAGCAAACAGG
rnacentral:rRNA from 1 species